ACCGAGAAAGGAGAAGCGUCUCCAGGGAGUCCUCCCCUCACGAGGGCGCCAGCAGCCCCGAGACGCCCCACGGCCCUGCCCGCGGCCUGGCUGCCUCACUCCAGCUGUGCGGCUCCUGCCCAGACACAAGACAACACGGCCCUGGAUGCAGCAAGCCUCUAUUAAAUGUCCUCUUCUCUGAAGAUGCUUACUUUACAACCAUGUGUGACUAUCCAGGAAAAUUCUCCCGUUCUUAGGAAACACUUUGGCAUGUUCAGAGAUUGCAGUGAAUUAAAAUGUCAGAGAUUCUUUGCAGAUUCCUUCCAUCUUCUCCCAUCAAGAGGCACAGGCUAGUUCCCCACCCCUCUAAUCUGGCCAAGCCUUGCAACUUGCUGUGACUCAUAAAGAGUGGCACAAGAGACACCACGUGACUCCAAAUAAGGCCUUAGGGGGCCUUCCAUCUUCUGCUUUUGUCCCUCUGGAACUCAGGUCCCUGUGAGAAGCCCGAGCCAGCCUGCUAGAGGGGCACAUGGAGGAGAACCAAGGCCCCCAGGCCAACUGCCCCAGCUAAGUGCUGGGGACGUAAGGAGGACACUUGGGACCCGUCACAAAGUUUAGAGUGAUUUUUAGGAAGGAAUGUCAAACUGUAACAAGAGGGAAGAACAAAGGCCUGCCACUUAAAUUUUUGAAAAUAAGAAGUUGAGGGAAAACAGAAAUAAAACUUCAAGUAGCU
rnacentral:lncRNA from 1 species